rnacentral:rRNA from 1 species
CGGCUACAAUGCAGUCGAGCGCCCCGCAGGGGGAGCGGCAGACGGGUGAGUAACGCGUGGGAAUCUACCCAUCACUACGGAACAACUCCGGGAAACUGGAGCUAAUACCGUAUACGUCCUUCGGGAGAAAGAUUUAUCGGUGAUGGAUGAGCCCGCGUUGGAUUAGCUAGUUGGUGGGGUAAUGGCCUACCAAGGCGACGAUCCAUAGCUGGUCUGAGAGGAUGAUCAGCCACACUGGGACUGAGACACGGCCCAGACUCCUACGGGAGGCAGCAGUGGGGAAUAUUGGACAAUGGGCGCAAGCCUGAUCCAGCCAUGCCGCGUGAGUGAUGAAGGCCCUAGGGUUGUAAAGCUCUUUCAACGGUGAAGAUAGUGACGGUAACCGUAAAAAAAGCCCCGGCUAUCUUCGUGCCAGACCCCCGGGAUAAAUAAAACAAUUUC